rnacentral:rRNA from 1 species
UACGGGGGGAGCAAGCGUUGUUCGGAUUUACUGGGCGUAAAGAGCUCGUAGGCGGUGUGUCGCGUCGGCCGUGAAAACCUGCAGCUUAACUGUGGGCGUGCGGUCGAUACGGGCAUCACUGGAGUUCGGCAGGGGAGACUGGAAUUCCUGGUGUAGCGGUGAAAUGCGCAGAUAUCAGGAGGAACACCGGUGGCGAAGGCGGUUCUCUGGGAAUAUCCUGACGCUGAGGAGCGAAAGUGUGGGGAGCGAACAGG